GAUGAACGCUGGCGGCGUGCCUAAUACAUGCAAGUCGAGCGAACGGACGAGAAGCUUGCUUCUCUGAUGUUAGCGGCGGACGGGUGAGUAACACGUGGAUAACCUACCUAUAUGACUGGGAUAACUUCGGGAAACCGGAGCUAAUACCGGAUAAUAUUUUGAACCGCAUGGUUCAAAAGUGACAGACGGUCUUGCUGUCACUUAUAGAUGGAUCCUCGCUGCAUUAGCUAGUUGGUAAGGUAACGGCUUACCAAGGCAACGAUGCGUAGCCGACCUGAGAGGGUGAUAGGCCACACUGGAACGGAGACACGGUCCAGACGACUAAGGGAGGCAGCAGUAGGGAAUGUUACGCAAUGGGCGAAAGCCUGACGGAGCAACGCCGCGUGAGUGAUGAAGGUCUUCGGAGAGUAAAAAUCUGUUAUUAGGGAAGAACAUAUGUGAAAGUAAAUGUGCAGAGCUUGACGGUACCUAAUCAGAAAGCCACGGCUAACUACGUG
rnacentral:rRNA from 1 species